UCUACGGGUGGCAGCAGUGGGGAAUAUUGCACAAUGGGGGGAACCCUGAUGCAGCAACGCCGCGUGGGUGAAGAAGUACUCCGGUAUGUAAAGCCCUGUCAGCAGGGAAGAAAAUGAUGGUACCUGACCAAGAAGCCCCGGCUAACUACGUGCCAGCAGCCGCGGUAAUAGGUAGGUGGCAAGCGUUAUCCGGAUUUACUGGGUGUAAAGGGCGUGUAGGCGGGGAAGCAAGUCAGAUGUGAAAACCACGGGCUCAACCGGUGGACUGCAUUUGAAACUGUUUUUCUUGAGUACUGGAGAGGCAGACGGAAUGCCUAGUGUAGCGGUGAAAUGCGUAGAUAUUAGGAGGAACACCAGUGGCGAAGGCGGUCUGCUGGACAGCAACUGACGCUGAGGCGCGAAAGCGUGGGGAGCAAACAGGAUUAGAUACCCCUGUAGUC
rnacentral:rRNA from 1 species